CAUGGUGACCGUAGAAACUAACAUAGAAAAAAGUAGACAAGUGACCUUGUUCAUUUAUGUUGGGAUAGGCAAGUAACUACCUUUUCUAUUUUAGUUUCUAUGGUCACUUUU
rnacentral:pre_miRNA from 1 species